rnacentral:misc_RNA from 1 species
UUAAGUUCAGCGGGUAGUCCUACCUGAUUUGAGAUCGAACGUUAAAAAAGCUGUCCUCGCUGAGGAGAGACAUCUGUGAGCUCCAGCAAACCUUUGUGACCAAAGGUUACCUGGCAGACAACAGCGAGCGUAGAUAUUUAUCACACCCGUGAUGCCACCAAACACUGGGAGGCUGAUUAAUUUGAGAGGAGCCGACCACA